GAUGAACGCUGGCGGCGUGCUUAACACAUGCAAGUCGAACGGUGAAGGCGGAGCUUGCUCUGCUGGAUCAGUGGCGAACGGGUGAGUAACACGUGAGCAAUCUGCCCCUGACUCUGGGAUAAGCGCUGGAAACGGCGUCUAAUACUGGAUACGAGCUGCUAAGGCAUCUUCAGCAGCUGUAAAGAAUUGCGGUCAGGGAUGAGCUCGCGGCCUUUCAGCUUGUUUGUGAGGUAAUGGCUCACCAAGGCUUCGACGGGUAGCCGGCAUGAGAGGGUGACCGGCCACACUGGGACUGAGACACGGACCAGACUCCUACGGGAGGCAGCAGUGGGGAAUAUUGCACAAUGGGCGAAAGCCUGAUGCAGCAACGCCGCGUGAGGGACGACGGCCUUCGGGUUGUAAACCUCUUUUAGCAGGGAAGAAGCGAAAGUGACGGUACCUGCAGAAAAAGCGCCGGCUAACUACGUG
rnacentral:rRNA from 1 species